CACGUAGGGCGCAAGCGUUGUCCGGAUUUAUUGGGCGUAAAGAGCGUGUAGGCGGUUUGGUAGGUCCGCUGUGAAAACUCGAGGCUCAACCUCGAGACGCCGGUGGAAACCAUCAGACUAGAGUCCGGAAGAGGAGAGUGGAAUUCCUGGUGUAGCGGUGAAAUGCGCAGAUAUCAGGAAGAACACCCGUGGCUAAGGCGGCUCUCUAGUACGGUACUGACGCUGAGACGCGAAAGCGUGGGGAGCGAACAGG
rnacentral:rRNA from 1 species